CACUGCGUUCACAUAUUAUUAAUAAUAGUAUAAGAUUUAUUAACCAUUUGAGUGUUUAAUAUAUUGUAGGCAGUUAUUUAUGAACCAGUCAACAAUUAAUACAUUUUAAUAAAAUAUUAUAUAUUUAGUGUUGUUAUCUUAUUAAAUUUGCAGUAUACUUUCAUCGUCGGUCGAUGGCCAUGAAAUCUUCGUUCUCCUGGCUAACAUGUCUUUGUUUCAUUUACGCAUCCGUUACUAAGUUAGACUAACUUAGUUUGUUCAGAUAAGUCAGAUGAAACCCAAAGUCUGUGUGCUUUAUUUUUUAAAACAUGUCCGGGAUCUGCGUUUCGUUGUAAUUACGGUGCAUGUGUAAGUAAAAAUUCAAAAUGUAAUGGUAAGUACGAUUGUGUCGAUGGAUCAGAUUAAAAAUUACCUGAAUGUAAAAAACUAGACUUAAGUAUUUCUUCAAGCCCUACAAGACCGCAACAGACUCAAGGAACCAGUCAGGCUAAAUGCAUGAUUUGUAUAAUAUUCAUAAGAAUUAAUUAUGUGACUUGGCGCGACAUGAGAGUAAGUAACAGCCGCUACCACUAAUUGCUGGAUGUAUGAUCACCCGGGUUCAUAGUGGCAAAAACCUUGCCACGCAUCGGUACCUACACACGUACCAACCAACCGUUCCAACCCCUACAAGAGCUAUAAUGGUCAUAUGUUGUUUUUUUGUUUGGUCAAUUUCAAAACAGUUGUCAAUGCAAAGCGCCACAUCACAAAUUGGACAAUAGUUAAACUGUAUAAGAAUAAAUGGCUGAUACACCCAUUUGGUGUGUUAUUGAGUAUGAUGGUGGUGGUGUACAAAUUGAACCUAAAAGUUGGACGGACACUGGGUCAUCAGGAACCAGCUAUUGGCCCAAACGAGGAGUUUUUAAUUCAGACCUACAAUACCUUUAUGCAGUAAAACAUAAUACGAGUCCUGAAAUAACGUGGCCAGACUGUAAGACAUCUACACUGGGAUUGUAUGAUGAUUUUGAAGAUGCCAAACGUAAACUAAAAAAAUCUGAAGUCAAUGCAGACCAUAACACAGAUGUGGAAAAAGAAAAAAAAAGCCGAAUAAAGUGGAAGAAAAAAAAACAUUUGUUAGUUCUAGUGACAAUCCUGAACCUUAAGUAUCGCCCGCUAUUAAAAUAAAACUAUUUCCUAAACCACAACAACCAAGUACAUUGCCACAAAGUUUAUAUUUAAAUGAAUCUGCAUUGCAUUUUCCUGAAAAAUUACGCUCUCACAGAAUCCCUUUCUAAAUUUUCCGUAUCAACUACAUCAUUGACCACAUAGUAAAUAUUAUAAAUAAUAUAAUUAUUCGAUUUGAUUUAAAAAUACACAACAAUAGCAAAUAGAUUAAAUACAGUAAUUUUAUAAUAGACAUUGCCUUUGCGAUUCUUUGACCGGUCCACUCCCAUCCAGCCACUAUUACACAAAUAACAAUUUAUAAUAAUAUCGACAUCAUGAAUUCACACGCAUCUUUGAGUUGCUUGCUGGCCGUCAUAGCCAACUUCAUCCCUGAGGCGGCCGUGAGCGGCGCCCGCAUUGUGUCACGUCUGGUCAUAAUGGCUGACCGCAAUUCGAACUUGUUGAUCGUCCUCAAAAAAGCCGUCAGCGCCGGAUCCAAAAUCACCGAUCCAAUUACAUUUGUGAUAAAAAUUCCACCGAUUAAGAUUACCGCUGGCGACAGCGUUAUGGAAAUCCAGUGCUGUGAACCCAAUGUUAUCUUCACCAACGAAGAGAGACACAUGUUUUGCCAGUCAAUGGACGACCACAUGUUACGCACGGUGUACCGGUGUCACGAUGUCACGCUAUACGACGACGGCAACCCCGAAAACGUGACAGUGGUGUACUGGACGUUGGUCAAGACGGCGUGGUACCAGCUCACGUUCCUGGCCCUGACCAUAUUGCCGUUCUGUUUAAUGGUGAUAUCCGCACUAGUAUACCACCUCUCAGAAAGCUUCGAGCACAGCCAAUGCGUCGAAAACCUUACGAAGAGCAUUGCAUUGCCUUUUUCGCCGAGACAAUCACACUACCGACUGUCACAGACUUUAAACUAACCGGUUAAACUGUAUAAGAAUAAAUGGCAGAUACACCUAUUUGAUGAGUUAUUAAGUUUGAUGAUGGUGGUGUACUGCAAAUUGUACCUAAAAGUUGGACAGAGACUGGAUCGCCAGGAACCAGCUAUACUGGGAUUCUAUGCAAUGCAAUGCGACGAGAAGACGCUCAUCGUAAGGUUUUCAACGUACGGCUGUGCUCACAGUUUUCCGAGAAGUGGUAUACUAUUGCGGUUAUCAACAUUAUACAGAACGAUAAUAUGGUCAAGACCAGGAACGUUAUCUGAUACCACGCCGUCUUGGUCAACGUUCCGUACACCACUGGCACGUUUUCGGGGUUGCCGUCGUCGUAUAGCCUGACAUCGUGACACCGACACACCGUGCGUAACAAGUGGUCGCUCAUUGUCUGGCGAAAAAUGUGCUUCCCUUCAUUGGCGAAAAUAUUAUUGGGUUCUCAGCACGGGAUUUCCAUAUCGCUGUCGGCAGCGGUAAUCUUGACCGGUGGAAUUUUAAUCACAAAUGUAGUGGAAUCGGUAAUUUUGGACCCGGCGCCGACGACUUUUUUGAGGGCGAUCAACAAGAACGAAUUGCGGCCAGCCAUUACGGCCGGACGUGACACAAUGUAUGCGCCGCUCACGUCCGCCUCGGUGAUGAAGAUGGCUAUGACGGCCAGCAAGCAACUCAAAGAUGCGUGUGAAUUCAUGAUGUCGAUAUUAUUAUAAAUUGUUAUUUAUGUAAUGGUGGCUGGAUGGACGUGGACCGGUCAAAGAAUCGCAAAGGCAAUGUCUAUUAUAAUAUUACCGUAUUUAAUGUGUUUGGUAAUGUUGUGUAUUUUUAAAUCAAAUCGAAUAAUUAUAUUAUUUAUAAUAUUUACUGUGCGGUCAAUAAUGCAGUUGAUACGGAAAAUUUAGAAAGAGAUUCUGAGAGAGCGUAAUUUUUCAGUAAAAUGCGCUGCGAUAACACACCUGAAUCAGUGACUGUAACGCAAAAUACUCUGACGGACCCCGCGUCGGAAGAAGAAAAAAGAAGAACAAAUUCAUAGAAAAUGAAUAAAUUCUCCGUCGAAAUAUCUGUGAAAACCAAAUAUCUUAGAUACGAAUGACAUUCUGUUAUUUGUCCGAAAAAUUAAUUAAUAAUUGAAAAUUGUGAUGUUUUAAUAAACUAAAUUUUAGAAUUGUACAAAUACUUGAUGAUCAUUGUAAAAAAAAUAUUGAGCCAUUGUACUUAACCGAAAUAAAGUAUUUUAAAUUAUUUACACGAUGACCUUCAACGAGUAUAUUAAUAUGACAGUCACUUAAGUGUACACUUCAUUUGUUAAUUUUUUUUGGGGGAGGAAGGUGGAGAGGAAAUGUAUGUACAUUUUAACUACCUUUUACUCUACAAAAAAAUGUUUGUUUAUAUUAUGGUAAAUUCUCAAUACAAAUAUAUACUGUACUAUUCUGAAUGUAUAAUACUAUAAUGUAACUACCUAAAUGUAGGUAUAAAUAUGUGCAAAUCGUUAAACGAAUAAUAAACUACAUAAUAUUUAAAUGUUCAUACUUUUUAACUACCUGUUACUCUUCAAAAAA